rnacentral:rRNA from 1 species
AGCGAACGCUGGCGGCAGGCCUAACACAUGCAAGUCGAACGAACCUUUCGGGGUUAGUGGCGGACGGGUGAGUAACACGUGGGAACGUGCCUUUAGGUUCGGAAUAACUCAGGGAAACUUGUGCUAAUACCGAAUGUGCCCUUCGGGGGAAAGAUUAAUCGCCUUUAGAGCGGCCCGCGUCUGAUUAGCUAAUUGGUUGAGGUAAUGGCUCACCAAGGCGACGAUCAGUAGCUGGUCUGAGAGGAUGAUCAGCCACAUUGGGACUGAGACACGGCCCAAACUCCUACGGGAGGCAGCAGUGGGGAAUCUUGCGCAAUGGGCGAAAGCCUGACGCAGCCAUGCCGCGUGAAUGAUGAAGGUCUUAGGAUUGUAAAAUUCUUUCACCGGGGACGAUAAUGACGGUACCCGGAGAAGAAGCCCCGGCUAACUUCGUG